GAGAACUUUCUUGCAGCCUCCUACUUCAGGGAUCGUUUUUGAACCGAGAGAACGAUGCAGUAGGCUAAGGAAAACAAAGUUGGAGGGAGGUAUGGUUGUUUUUGGAACAGAAUACUUUUAUGAACUUGAUGAACUUGAUGGAAGUGAAGGACAAAGAAUAUGGAAGGCACUACAAUGAUUUGACUUCUUCGAGGUCUAAUUUGCUAGAUUUAUGAAGGGUGUGUAAAUUCUACUUAUACACACCUUGUGUACAAAUUGUAUGCAGGGUGUGUACAGAUCACGUGGUUUCAUGUCAUUGGAGCCUAGAUGUGAGCUAUGUUCGGAUUCCCCACUUAAUAAUUUCUUCACAAAAAGAUGAGUUAACUUGCAGAAACCACUGCUCUAACUCAUUUGAAAAUGAAACUAACAUUAAUUUUCAUCCUUUGUAUUUGGGAAGAUUUCAAGCAAAUUGUAGAUCUCAACUUUUGGAUGAGAAGGUGCUUGAGAAUUUUAAACCACAUAACCAUCUAAAGAAACUGAGGAUAAAUGUUUACUGGGUGCCAGGACUUCAAUAUUCACCUUGUUGUAGCACUUUUUGAGAACCUGUACCA